AUUAAUAUUCAAAUACUUUGAACAAUUAAAAUAAAUUAUGGGAGGUAAAAAAUUAGGUGUCAACACCCACAUCUUCUGAAUUAUUGUCUCCAGUCGAACCCAUUGAAGCAUCAGAUAUAUCACAAGACCAACUCAUAAAUUCUGAAACCUUACUUACGGUUGAAUGUACUCUUGCACCGGAUAUACAAUGAGCCCUUCAACCGAAUCGAUGACACUUGCUUCCACCCCUAUACAUCCUUCCGCACCUUCCAUAAGACAAUCCCAUCAUCCUAAACAACUCCCGUCAUGGCAAAAAGACUACAUACUAUCAUCAAAAGUCAAUACAUCAAACCCAACCCCAAGUUCUCAAUCAGGUACUCAAUAUCCUCUUUUCAAUUUUCUUUCUUACUCUCGUUUAUCAUCUACAGAUUGUACUUUUUUAGCUAACAUUACAGGUCAUACCGAGCCUAUCUCAUAUGAUUAGGCAAUCUUUGAUCCUCACUGGAAACAAGCCAUGAAUGCAGAAUUAGAAGCGCUUCAACAGAACAAUACAUGGAGUUUGGUACCUCUUCCUGCUGGACAUAAAUUAAACCCAUCGGUUGCAAAUGGGUUUACAAAAUUAAGUACAAGUCAAAUGGUACCAUUGAAAGAUAUAAGGCUCGUCUUGUUGCUAAAGGAUACGCUCAAGUAGAGGGUACUGAUUAUCAAGAAACAUUUUCUCCUAAAACCAAACUUACUACCCUUCGUUGUCUUCUUACUGUUGUUGCUGCACGGAAUUGGGUUGCCUACCAGUCAGACGUCCAAAAUGCAUUCCUUCGUGGCGACUUGAAUAAAGAAGUGUAUAUGUAACAUCCACAUGGACUUCGCCGAUAGGGGGAGAACACUGUAUGUCGGCUACACAAAUCUCUCUAUGGUCUCAAACAGGCAUCAAGAAAUUGGUUUCUCACCUUUGUAGAAACCAUUCAAAAGGCUGGUUAUGAACAAUCAAAAGCCGACUUUUCUCUUUUCACUAAAGCCCAAGAUCACAUAAAGGUAUUUUUAUGUCUCAAAGGAAAUAUGCAUUAGACAUCUUUCAAGAUUCAGGACUUCUAGGGGCGCGCCCAGACAAGUUUCCAAUGGAACAAAAUCUGAAACUUACUCCUACACAUGGUGAAUUAUUGAAUGAUACACAUGUUACAAGACCCGACAUAGUUUACUCUGUUCGUACACUAAGUCAAUACAUGAACGAGCCUCGAAAACCUCAUUGGGAUGCUGCUAUACGAGUCCUUAAAUAUAUUAAGGGUACUCCAGGUCAAGGUUUAUUAUUCCCUUCCAUCAGUGAUCUUACUUUACAUGCCUUUUGUGAUUCGGAUUGGGGAGGUUGCAGUGCCACAAGGAGAUCAGUUAUAGUUUUUCUUGGAAAUUCUCGUCUUAUGGAAGUCCAAUAAACAACCGAAUGUUUCAAGAUCGUCAGCAGAAGCAGAAUAUCGAGCUAUGGCUAAUACAAGCUUGGAGCUCACAUGGCUACGCUACAUUCUACAAGAUCUGAAAGUCCCACAAGUAACUCCUACAAAACUAUUCUGUGAUAAUUAAGCCGCUUUGCAUAUUACAGUGAAUCCUGUCUUCCAUGAACGUGCAAAUGAAAUAGAUUGUCACAUAGUUCGAGAAAAGUUGCAAGCUGGAAUGAUUAGUCCAUCAUAUGUGCCCACACGCUUUUAGUUGGCAGAUUUAUUAUGAAGGCAUUGGGAAAGGAUCAGUUUGUGACACUACGCAACAAGUUGGGACUUCAUGAUUUUCACUCUCCAACUUGAGGAGGAGUGUUAAGAAAUAUUACAUUACUCAUAUAUUUACUUUCCUAUUUAUUAUUAAGUAGAUCCCAUAUAAUAUGUAUCACUGAUUUGUAGAUACCAUAUAAUAUGCAUCACUGAUUUGGUGCCUUAGAAUUAGGCAUAAAUUGAUUUGUAACAUAUGUAUAUAUAUAUUGGUGUUCUAUAAAUGUAAAAAACCACUUCAGCCAA